rnacentral:rRNA from 1 species
UCGAACGAGAGUUUUUAACUCAAGUGGCGGACGGGUGAGUAACACGUGAGAAUCUACCCUUAGGAGGGGGACAACAGUUGGAAACGACUGCUAAUACCCCAUAUGCUUUCGAGUAAAAUGAUUUUUCGCCUAAGGAAGAGCUCGCGGCUGAUUAGCUAGUUGGUAAGGUAAAGGCUUACCAAGGCGACGACGGGUAGCCGGCCUGAGAGGGUGACCGGCCACACUGGGACUGAGACACGGCCCAGACUCC